rnacentral:rRNA from 1 species
CGUACACUCCUGCGGGAGGCAGCAGUGGGGAAUAUUGCACAAUGGGCGCAAGCCUGAUGCAGCCAUGCCGCGUGUAUGAAGAAGGCCUUCGGGUUGUAAAGUACUUUCAGCGGGGAGGAAGGCAAUACGGUUAAUAACCGUGUUGAUUGACGUUACCCGCAGAAGAAGCACCGGCUAACUCCGUGCCAGCAGCCGCGGUAAUACGGAGGGUGCAAGCGUUAAUCGGAAUUACUGGGCGUAAAGCGCACGCAGGCGGUCUGUCAAGUCGGAUGUGAAAUCCCCGGGCUCAACCUGGGAACUGCAUUCGAAACUGGCAGGCUUGAGUCUUGUAGAGGGGGGUAGAAUUCCAGGUGUAGCGGUGAAAUGCGUAGAGAUCUGGAGGAAUACCGGUGGCGAAGGCGGCCCCCUGGACAAAGACUGACGCUCAGGUGCGAAAGCGUGGGGAGCAAACAGGAUUAGAUACCCCAGUAGUCCCAUGAU